UACAGAGGGUGCGAGCGUUAAUCGGAAUUACUGGGCGUAAAGCGCGCGUAGGCGGCUUUGCAAGUCGGGUGUGAAAUCCCCAGGCUCAACCUGGGAACUGCAUUCGAGACUGCAUUGCUAGAGUAUGGGAGAGGGAAGUGGAAUUUCCGGUGUAGCGGUGAAAUGCGUAGAUAUCGGAAGGAACAUCAGUGGCGAAAGCGACUUCCUGGACCAAUACUGACGCUCAUGCACGAAAGCGUGGGGAGCAAACAGG
rnacentral:rRNA from 1 species